UACGUAGGGUGCAAGCGUUAAUCGGAAUUACUGGGCGUAAAGCGUGCGCAGGCGGUUGUGCAAGACCGAUGUGAAAUCCCCGGGCUUAACCUGGGAAUGGCAUUGGUGACUGCACGGCUAGAGUGUGUCAGGAGGGGGGUAGAAUUCCACGUGUAGCAGUGAAAUGCGUAGAGAUGUGGAGGAAUACCGAUGGCGAAGGCAGCCCCCUGGGAUAACACUGACGCUCAUGCACGAAAGCGUGGGGAGCAAACAGG
rnacentral:rRNA from 1 species